rnacentral:rRNA from 1 species
UGCCUAUACAUGCAAGUCGAACGAACUCUGCGUAUUGAUUGGUGCUUGCAUCAUGAUUUACAUUUGAGUGAGUGGCGAACUGGUGAGUAACACGUGGGAAACCUGCCCAGAAGAGGGGGAUAACACCUGGAAACAGAUGCUAAUACCGCAUAACAACUUGGACCGCAUGGUCCGAGUUUGAAAGAUGGCUUCGGCUAUCACUUUUGGAUGGUCCCGCGGCGUAUUAGCUAGAUGGUGAGGUAACGGCUCACCAUGGCAAUGAUACGUAGCCGACCUGAGAGGGUAAUCGGCCACAUUGGGACUGAGACACGGCCCAAACUCCUACGGGAGGCAGCAGUAGGGAAUCUUCCACAAUGGACGAAAGUCUGAUGGAGCAACGCCGCGUGAGUGAAGAAGGGUUUCGGCUCGUAAAACUCUGUUGUUAAAGAAGAACAUAUCUGAGAGUAACUGUUCAGGUAUUGACGGUAUUUAACCAGAAAGCCACGGCUAACUACGUGCCAGCAGCCGCGGUAAUACGUAGGUGGCAAGCGUUGUCCGGAUUUAUUGGGCGUAAAGCGAGCGCAGGCGGUUUUUUAAGUCUGAUGUGAAAGCCUUCGGCUCAACCGAAGAAGUGCAUCGGAAACUGGGAAACUUGAGUGCAGAAGAGGACAGUGGAACUCCAUGUGUAGCGGUGAAAUGCGUAGAUAUAUGGAAGAACACCAGUGGCGAAGGCGGCUGUCUGGUCUGUAACUGACGCUGAGGCUCGAAAGUAUGGGUAGCAAACAGGAUUAGAUACCCUGGUAGUCCAUACCGUAAACGAUGAAUGCUAAGUGUUGGAGGGUUUCCGCUCUUCAGUGCUGCAGCUAACGCAUUAAGCAUUCCGCCUGGGGAGUACGGCCGCAAGGCUGAAACUCAAAGGAAUUGACGGGGGCCCGCACAAGCGGUGGAGCAUGUGGUUUAAUUCGAAGCUACGCGAAGAACCUUACCAGGUCUUGACAUACUAUGCAAAUCUAAGAGAUUAGACGUUCCCUUCGGGGACAUGGAUACAGGUGGUGCAUGGUUGUCGUCAGCUCGUGUCGUGAGAUGUUGGGUUAAGUCCCGCAACGAGCGCAACCCUUAUUAUCAGUUGCCAGCAUUAAGUUGGGCACUCUGGUGAGACUGCCGGUGACAACCGGAGAAAGGUGGGGAUGACGUCAAAUCAUCAUGCCCCUUAUGACCUGGGCUACCCCCUGCUACAUGGAUGGUACAACAAUU